CACGGGGGGAGCAAGCGUUGUUCGGAAUCACUGGGCGUAAAGCGCGCGCAGGCGGUCCUUUAAGUCUGAUGUGAAAGCCCACGGCUCAACCGUGGAGGGUCAUUGGAAACUGGGGGACUUGAGUGCAGGAGAGAAGAGUGGAAUUCCACGUGUAGCGGUGAAAUGCGUAGAGAUGUGGAGGAACACCAGUGGCGAAGGCGACUCUUUGGCCUGUAACUGACGCUGAGGCGCGAAAGCGUGGGGAGCAAACAGG
rnacentral:rRNA from 1 species